GAUGAAGAACGUAGCGAAAUGCGAUAAGUAAUGUGAAUUGCAGAAUUCAGUGAAUCAUCGAAUCUUUGAACGCACAUUGCGCCCUCUGGUAUUCCGGAGGGCAUGCCUGUUCGAGCGUCAUUAUAACCACUCAAGCUCUCGCUUGGUAUUGGGGUUCGCGGUUCCGCGGCCCCUAAAAUCAGUGGCGGUGCCUGUCGGCUCUACGCGUAGUAAUACUCCUCGCGAUUGAGUCCGGUAGGUCUACUUGCCAGCAACCCCCAAUUUUUACAGGUUGACCUCGGAUCAGGUAGGGAUACCCGCUGAACUUAAGCAUAUCAAUAAGCGGAGGA
rnacentral:misc_RNA from 1 species